GAUGAACGCUAGCGGCAGGCUUAAUACAUGCAAGUCGUGGGGCAGCAUGAGUAGCAAUACUUGAUGGCGACCGGCAAACGGGUGAGGAACACGUACACAACCUUCCUUCAAGCGGGGAAUAGCCCAGAGAAAUUUGGAUUAAUACCCCAUAAUAUAUUUGAUAAGGCAUCUUAUUAAUAUUAAAGCUUCGGCACUUGAUGAUGGGUGUGCGGCUGAUUAGAUAGUUGGCGGGGUAACGGCCCACCAAGUCUACGAUCAGUAGCUGAUGUGAGAGCAUGAUCAGCCACACGGGCACUGAGACACGGGCCCGACUCCUACGGGAGGCAGCAGUAAGGAAUAUUGGACAAUGGACGAAAGUCUGAUCCAGCCAUGCCGCGUGAAGGAUUAAGGUCCUCUGGAUUGUAAACUUCUUUAUAUGGGACGAAAAAGGGCAUUCUUGUUCACUUGACGGUACCAUAUGAAUAAGCACCGGCUAACUCCGU
rnacentral:rRNA from 1 species